rnacentral:rRNA from 1 species
CGGCGGAUGGGUGAGUAACACGUGGGUAACCUACCUACAAGCUUGGGAUAACUCGUGGAAACGCGAACUAAUACCAAAUGCGAUCUUUUACCUCCUGGUAAAAGAUUAAAAGACGGUUUCGGCUGUCACUUGUAGACGGGCCCGUGGCGCAUUAGCUAGUUGGUGAGAUAAAAGCUUACCAAGGCAACGAUGCGUAGCCGACCUGAGAGGGUGAUCGGCCACACUGGGACUGAGACACGGCCCAGACUCCUACGGGAGGCAGCAGUAGGGAAUCUUCCGCAAUGGACGAAAGUCUGACGGAGCGACGCCGCGUGAAUGAUGAAGAUCUUCGGAUCGUAAAAUUCUGUUGUUAGGGAUGAACAAGUGUGAGCAUAACUACUCACACCUUGACAGUACUUAACCAGAAAGCCCCGGCUAACUACGUGCCAGCAGCCGCGGUAAUACGUAGGGGGCGAGCGUUGUCCGGAAUUAUUGGGCGUA